rnacentral:rRNA from 1 species
ACAUUAUAUCGCUUAGUUUUAGUAAAAUUAAAACAUUUAUACAAUUAGUAAGGGUGAUUAAAAUUUAUUUUAUAUUUUUAUUAAGUACUGAAAAGGAAAGAUAUAUUUGAAUUAAAGAAAAAAUUGAAUUUUGUACCUUUUGCAUCAUGGUUUAGCUAGAUUUAAAUUUCUUAUAGAAAUUUCUCGAAACUUAGUGAGCUAUCUUUUUUUAAAAUUUUAGUUUAAUAAAAGUGGUUGUGGCAUAAACCUUUCUAGAAUAAAAGAUAGAAAUGAGAUUUUUUCCGUACUGAGUGAUAGCUAGUUCUUUCCUAAAGGUAUAUGAGUACUGUAGAUUGGUUUUAUGUAAUGUUCUAUAACAUUAUCAUAGGGACUUUAAUUGAAUUAAGCUUUCGAGGAUAAGCUCGAAAGCUGGGAAAUAAAGUUACAUAAAUGUAUUAAUAAAUUUAAGCUUGAAAAUGGUUAUAAUUGAGAUUUUGUUAUAAUUUCAUUACUAGUUUUAUCAAAUAAUAAAUUUGUUGUAUUUUUAGGAAAGUAAACUCUAAAAAUUUAAUUUAUAGAUUAAUCUUAUGCUAAAAUGAGUAUCACACCAUCUAUAAGUUUUCUUGAAACAAGUAUGAUUAAAUUUAAGUGUCUGUAUUCAAAUUAAAUUGUAAAAAGGAACUCGGCAAAAUAACGUUCUGCCUGUUUAUCAAAAACAUGGCUCCCUGUAUACUAUUAAAUAGGGAGUCGGACCUGCCCGGUGAAAUUUUUUAACGGCCGCGGUACUCUGACCGUGCAAAGGUAGCAUAAUCAUUUGCCUUAUAACUGAAGGCUAGUAUGAAUGGUUUGACAAGAGCGUAACUGUCUCUUUACAAUUAAUUAGAAUUUUAUUUUUAGGUGAAGAAGCCUAUAUAUAAUUGAAAGACAAGAAGACCCUAUCGAGCUUAAAAAGAGUUGGUAAGCCUAAUUUUUAAUAAAACAUUAAUUUCCGUUUAUCAUAAAUUUUAGUUGGGGCGACUGAGGAACAAACAAAGCUUCCUUUAAACACAUAAAAUAAGCUGACAAGUUUUGAUCCAAAAAUUUUGAUUAAAGAAAUUAGUUACCGUAGGGAUAACAGCAUUAUUUUCUUUGAGAGUUCUUAUCGAAAAGAGAGUUUGUGACCUCGAUGUUGGACCAGAAUAUCCUAAAGAUGCAGCCGUCUUUAAGGGUUGGUCUGUUCGACCAUUAAAAUUCUACGUGAUCUGAGUUCAGACCGGCGUGAGCCAGGUCAGUUUCUAUCUUCAAUUUUAUCAAUGAACUUAGUACGAAAGGACCAGAUUAUUGCAAUAAUAGUUGUUAAAGUAUAGAUAAAAUAUAAUUAAUAUAUUAGAACUUGUAAUCCAAUAAAAAGUAUC